rnacentral:lncRNA from 1 species
GCGUGGGCAGGUGGGCGACCCUUGGGGGGCAUGGGCAGGUGAGUGGCCCUUCAGGGGCGUGGCAUGUGCAGGUGGGCAGCCCUUCCAAGGGCGCGGCCAGGCAGUUGGGCGGCUCUUCCAGGGACAUGGGCAGAUGGGCCACCCUUGGGGUGCAUGGGCAGGAUUGCACUCACCAGCGUCUGAGGGAUCCGGAAGCCCCAGAUGUAGCCCCGUCCCCGGGACUUGGCAAGAGGAGGAACGCAGGCACAGACAGCCCCUGGGGGAUGCCAGGAGGGACCCCCCCACUCAGAACCCCACAGCAGGAGCUCAAGAAUGCACUCUGGGGCAGGGUGGCUGGAGGGCCCUGCACUGAAGCCCACGGUGCUGGCUGGUAUUGAUCCCACUCGCCCGUCUCAGCCUCUGGCUCCGGUCCCCUCCCUGCUCUGCCAGAGGUCCCAACAACCACAACCGUCUGUCACCCUCCCAGUGAGGCAGGAGAGCACCUGGCCCUGAGUCCCGUUUGUCCCAUUUGUCCAGUGGAGCAGCCACCGGCCCUGACCUGGACCACGUGCUGGGCGCCUCCUGGCAGCCCGUUCUGCUCCCGAAUGCCCCGGCUUAGUCAGUCUGGGAUGCGGCCCUGGACACCGGGCUUUAUGCAGCUCUGAAGUGAUCCCAGCACACAGCCCGGGUCAAGCUCAGCGCUCGGCAACCAUAGGCACCCAACAACGGGCUGCAGCCAUCAGUAACAACGGCAGCUCCAACGCCCAGAGAACUCACGGAGCAGACACACAUCAGAUGAAGACGCGGAGGCCUGAGCGCUGGGGGUCGCCCGGGGCUGCACAGCGGGUCAGAGGCCAACCCUGGGCGGAGCCAGGCCACACCCUCCCUCAAGGAUUCACAGUCUCCCCAAAGUAACCGCAACGAGGGACCCUCCCGUCACCAAACUUCCUUUCAGUCACUUCCGCUUGUACUAAUUCUGGCCCAACCGUUCAUUAUAUUUUUACAAUUCUU